GCCAGCACUUUGGAAAAUUCCCUCACUUUAUGGGUUAUAUCGUGCGGAAGGGAAACAAUUCUUGUAUAUCGUGAUGGUUUCUGUUUUAUUGUUUGUUUUUUGCCUUUCGAGUCCCAGCGGAGGGUGCGAGCUGCAUUUUCAGAGCAUAAUGUGUGUGUCAUUUUGGGGGAAAAUGGUGCAUCUGUAGAAGCAGGUUGUGAAAAUGGCACCUGAUAUGACCUCCAUUUUAGAGAAUGGUGGAGGAAUAAUGGAAACCCCGGGAGGUAAAGAGUGCUGCCUUCUCCCCUGCCCUGCGAUGAGACCCCGGGCCAGGCAUUAGAGAGGAUGAAUGACAAUACUGAGAUCCCAGCCGCCACACUGCUUGUUUAUGGAUGUGUGUGCACAUCUAUGAAGUGUGCGAUAGAUUAAAGUUGUCUCUGCAAAUGUUUUUUUUUUUUUGUGAAAUUGAUGAUUGAUGUUUCCCUAUCAUGCAGUGCUGUAAUUUUUCUCUUGUAAUUAACUAUGACACCAAAAAUCUACUCUCGUGUGUCAGAGCAUAAACUGUAUGCAUAAUCUAUGUUUCAAAAAUGUCAUUUUUUUGGAAUAGUCGCCGUUUAAUCAUUCACUGUGCGCCUGUAGCUCUUUUACACUUUGCCCUGAUCCCUGGGAGUCAGACACAUGGAUUCAUUUCCAAACUGGCUUUCAAGAGUCGCCACUGCCAGACCCCCUGCUGAGCUAAGCCAUCAGCUUUAUUUGUUGAUCUGUAUUUCUCUCCCUCCCUCUUGGCUCAUCGACGCAAAGAAGCCUACUCGUGGGUUACCAUUAGAGGCAGAUAAUCUGCAGUGAUUAGAUAGGUCUUUAUGUGGCAGUUCAGGCCUGGUCCCGGAGAGGCAAGAGGAGAGAGCCUUUCAGCGGAGAAGAAUAGGGCACAGCGCUCCUCCAGCCACUCAGCUUUGCCUCUUCCUCUCAGAGCUCAGCGGCCAGGGCAGCUGUCUAUUCACACCACCCUGCCAAUUAAGCACAUUCAGCAGGGCACUGGAGAGACACCCAGCCAGAGUCCCUGUGCUGCCACUCACCUGGGAGGCGUGCUGCUCAGUGAUAAUGGCAGUGGGAGAGCCAGAAGCAGCUAUCCGCCUCUAGUGAUGCUGAAAUGGGAUUUGGGCUGUGCUCGGGCGGAGGAGGUUAUUAUGGAUCAGGGGGGCCUGGUUUUGAAACAGAGCUAAACUGGGCUGUGGUACGACUAGAACCGCUGGGAUGUCUGUUAGCUUUCCUCGCUAACAAUGGCAGAUAAGACAAAAGUGGUUGUUUGCCAUCUCUCUCUUACACACCGGCCCAUUAAAGGUGUGCUGUUAUCUGAUAAGCCGUGAGGGGUGUGAUCACUUACACACAUAAACACACAAAUACACACCUGCUGUCCCUCAUUCAGUGCUCACUUAUGACCUCAAACCCGUCUCACUCGGUCCACAGUGUCCCUACACUGAAAGAGAGAGAAACUGUUUUGUGGCUCUGUGAUUUUUCUGUUGUUUUGUUCUCGUUCAAGUGCCCUCCUAGCUUAUUUUCCUUUAUUCUUAUCAUUCCAUCUGGCUGCUAGUCACACAUUAAUCUAAAUUCUAAACAGGGUUCCUCCAGUGGUGUUAUCAACUCGUCGUUGAUGUGAGCGUUGGCCCAGGAGAGGGGACGCGGGCAAAGGGGGGAAAAACAACACACAGCACAACAAAUUGAUGUGGAUGGGGGAGUGAGUGAGUGAGAGACAGAGAGAGAGAGAGAGAAAGAGAGAGAGAGAGAGAGCUUGUAUGCAUGCUUGACUAUUGCACCAAGCUGCAUCAUGACUUCAGUACAGGUGUGAGACUUAAUCAGAGGUAUAAAAAUUGUCUCAGAAGACUGAAUGUAUAUUCACAUUGAAUGUAAUUUGCAGUGCUGUGUAACCCACUGCAAGUUUGUCUAUUAAUACAACAUUGUUUACAGAUCAAAUGAUUUUACCUAAAAGUAAACAUAAGUAAACAGUUUCACAAUAUAUUGUAAUAUUACUGAAGCUUAAA
ensembl:lncRNA